AGCGUGCGGCGGGGCUUGUCCGGCACCUGAACAGGCUGGAUUCUAGACGCCGGGCGUUUUCCCCUGCUUCUGCAAUCGGCUGAGACGUCUUUCUUUUAAAAUAAGGAGUUAUUAUUAUCCUAAGAUAGCAAUGCUGGUGGUGUAAGAUGAGGACAGGCCAGGAAGGGAGGCGUGGACCGCACCGCCCUACCCGGGGAGGAGCGCGCUCCGCGUCCAGCCCCUGCCGGGCGUGCACGUUUAUUCGGCCGUAGUUGUGCGCCGAGGGUGUGCUCACGGCAAAGGCGGGCCCUGAGCUUAGUCUUCCAGGAGCACCUACUGCGCGCCUGCUCCCAGCAAGGAGCUGCGUCGGAGGACGCACGGAUGCGGACGGCAUCGUGGAUCCACCGAGGGCUGUCCCCUGGAGGGGAAGGAAGAAAAUGUUACUUGAAGGCAUGCUGACCAUCCUCACUAGUGAAGAAAAAGGGAAUUUCAAUUUUGAAAUGUGUUACCUCACUUUGUAAGGACCGUCACAGAAGUACAGGUUGUGCUGUCGUAGUCGGUCCCCGAGAAAGUCAGUCACCAAGACAAACGUGAUGCUGGCACUCUCAUCUUCCGUCAGCUCUCCAUCAGAUUGGUGCUGGAAGCGCUCUGGUGCGGUGUCGCCAAGACACACCAGCCUGAGGUUGCUGGCAACUGAUGAACUCAGUUUACUGUUAGGACCAUUACGGUUGCAAAUGAUGAAAAUCAAUGUAGUCUGCCCCCAAAAGAAGGAUGCUGGAGCGAGUCACAAAAUCAAAGGGAGGACCAAAGAAACCAGGGCCCUGGGGCUUAGAACCACAGCCUCCGUGGCUGUCUUGACCGCACGCACACGUGCACACACCUGCCCUAAUGCUCUCUUACCUGGUUGUGAUUCUCUCUGAAGGUGGGCAGCGCGGUCCUGGGAUGUCCAGGAUUACCAGACAGGUUCACCCCGCUACACAGCCUGCUGACCCGCUCUUGUGUGGCCGACAAGUGGAGAAUGUUUGUACAUGUUAAACGGUUAAAAGAAAAU